AAUUACUGCUGCCUCCACAGUCAAUACUCAUGAACUCUGCAUUUCCAGUUUCAACCUUAAUUUUCUUGGUAGAUGAAUUGAAGGCUAUAGAUACAAAAGACAGACAGACAUACCUGAAACUUGGCACACUAUUGAUGGAGUGAAGAUGGCAAGUAAAAGAAACAGCUGUGGAAGAAAAUCCAUGGGAGAAGAAGAAGAGAAG